rnacentral:rRNA from 1 species
AGCGUAGACGGUGUGGCAAGUCUGAUGUGAAAGGCAUGGGCUCAACCUGUGGACUGCAUUGGAAACUGUCGUACUUGAGUGCCGGAGGGGUAAGCGGAAUUCCUAGUGUAGCGGUGAAAUGCGUAGAUAUUAGGAGGAACACCAGUGGCGAAGGCGGCUUACUGGACGGUAACUGACGUUGAGGCUCGAAAGCGUGGGGAGCAAACA